UGGGAGCCUAGAGAGCCCGAGCAAGCACAAGUGACUGUGAGACUUUGAUCCCUGUCUGUGGGUGCAGUAAUUGCAUUUGUGAUGACCUCGUGUUCUUAUAACUUCCACAGAUUCGUAUCACGAAGCCAGGCCGGAGGUGGGUUGAAGCUGUCAAUGUGUUCGUUGGCCAGUCUUAAUGCGACAUGAUGAUGCCCAGCAAGUACUGGAUGGCGCUGACAAGAUCUUUGGCCAUAGUAUUCCCAGCCCUAUAUCCCCUCCAUCUUCAACCUUCAUAAUGUUGUCCGCCUCCAUCCCUGCCUCAGCUCAGCUGCUACUGAAACCCUAAUCCAUGCUAUUGUUACCUCCCAGCUUGACUGUUCCAAGGUUCUCCUUGCACCCUCUGUAAGCUUAAGGUCAUCCAAAACUUAAGCACCCGUGUCCUAACUUGCACCAAGUCCUGUUGGCCCAUCACCUGUUGCUCACUGACCUCACUGGCUCCCAAAUCCUUGUUUGCAAGUCCUCAUCCCUCCUCUUUCUCUGACCCCCUAUAAGUCAAUGAACAGUGGGGCAAUGGAACAGGUCCCAGUGCAAUUUAGGAUAUGGGCAGCAGAGUUUUGGAUGUCAUCAAGCUUACAGAGGGUAGAAAGCUGGGGGCCGGCCAGAAGCACAUCGGAAUAGCCAAGACUAGAAUUAAUAAAGGCAAUGGAUGAGGGUCAUACAGGAGCAAAUGAGCUGAGGUGGGUGAGGUUGGGUGAUAUUAGAGUGGAAUUGACGGUCUUAGCAAAGGGGUAGCUAUGCGGUCAAAACUUCAGGGUCAACUCUGACAGUGAGAUUGCGAACAGUCUGGUGCAGCCUCAGACAGCCACAGGAAGAGGAAUAGAGUCAGUGGCUAGGGGACUGAGGACUAUGGCUUCAGUCUCCCCGAUGCUUAGUUGGAGGAAGCUUCUGCUCAUCCAGUCAGAUAAUGUAGAGAGAGUGGGCGGGCUGAAAGAGGUGGUGGUGAGAUAGGGCUGGGUGUCAUCAGUGACAUGUGACAGCUGACACUCUGUUUCUGGAUGAUGUCACUAUGAGGCAGCAGCAUGUAGGUAAGAAAUAGGAGGGGGCCAAGGAUAGAUCCUUGGGAAAAUGAAAGAGUGCGGGAGGGAAUAGAGAAGCCAUUGCAAGUGAAGCUCUGCUGACCAAGACAGAAAAUAGGGUGAGGUGUCACUAACAGGUGCAACCAAUCGCAAGUGCCUUAAAUAUUAAAAAGAAGACUUGACAAGGUAAGUUUUUUUCCCCAUUUAUUCAGAGAAUAGUGUGAUUAAGAAAUGUUUUACAGUUCUGUACAUUUCUCUAACUCUACUCAAUUUAUAGGCAUUCGUACAGGGUUUUUUUUGUUCUGCAGAUGUCUGGACAAUCAAAAGCAUGCACAGAUUUUAAGAGCUCACUAGGCCCAUAGCCUUGUACGUCAUGGCAUCGCAAGUGCACAUCUGACUGGAGCCUUUUCAGUUUGGUGGCUGGGGUAUUGGCGAGGUUUGAAAACAAGAUGGCCAAAAUGACACUGUACUGACAAGCCUGAAGAGACAUUUGAUGUGGCAAGUUUUUCCUCUGGUAACAUCAUGACAGAUUUCCUGCUUGAAACAUGUGAUGAGACAACAGCUCUGCCUAAAGCUGAAUAAAACACAACAGCGCCAUGGAAAGACCUGUAACUGGUAGCAUGAGCUCCCCUUACAACAGUGAAAAGUUUUGGAUAGCAAAGCUUGAAUCCAAGUUACAUUUACCCCUCAAGGAAUGAAUUGCAUUAUUUAGUGCUUUACUAAAAUCCUAUGCAACCAAUGGGCCGAAACAUUCACGGGAAAACAUUCCCAACGUACCAGCACAUAGAUGGAUACUUGCAAAACUUUUGGAAGAAAGGGUGGUGGAAUAGUUAGAUUUACCAUAAACCUGUUCAAACUCCCAAAUCUGACUUUCAGAUGUUCAACAUGGAUUCAAGGUAAAGUAUUGCGUUUCCACCCCUAGAUGUCUCUAGUGUGCUUGCUAACAAGAAUAUGGUGCAUCACGUUUCCAAUGAGCUGGUGGCAUCUGUUGGCAGAAGCUAAGUACUGCAACAGCCUUUAUUGUUAGUCUGUUGAGAAGUCCAACCAGGAUUAUUUCUUUUAACUUGUUAGAACUAUUUGUUGCUUAAUCACAUGAAUAAUUUACCACAGGAAGUCUUUUUCCAUUUUUUUUAGGAAUGUGUAAAACUCUACUCUUCCACUGAAGUGCCUCACGCUCUCAGAGAACAUCCUUCAUGCUGUGUUGGCAUGCUGGUUGCACGUUGGGCGUCCAGCAGAAGGCUGAGUCAAUCUACCAUUCAUUGGGUUUAGUGAACACAAAUGUAACUCCCAUUGGCUAAUGUUGACUGAAUCUUUUAAAAUUGAAACCACAACAUGGAGCAACAAGGGCAUGAGUCAUUAAAGGUUUACAGAAUGGGAGAUAGCAAUAACUAGGUGAUGUCAAACUUGGGUUUCAGAAACUAAAAGAGAGUAGGUAGGAGAGAAGAGUGAGGGAGGUAAGACAUUCCAGUUUCAAGGUCCUGGCAGAGAUUGUGUUUGAGCAGGAGAUGGUGUGAUGAGUCUCAGUUGAGGAGGCAGAGAAAAGGGAAAGGGUGUAGGGUGGGCUAUGGGCAUUGUUGAAUAUCCUGAGCCAGUGAUGCUGUCAGAGUGUCUGCUUCUGUCAAGGGUCAAAGCUUUCCUGUGAAGAAGUUUUCCCAUUUGUCUGUCAUCACAGUCAAUCACAUCAAAUAGAAUUUAAAAAGAAAUAUCCAAUUAGGAGAUCGAAUUGAACCCACUACAGCCUAUAAUAUAAACAGGUUAAAGCUGAUGUUAAAAUAGCGAACAAACAAAUGCCAUGUGACUGCAUUAAACAUUGCUCUG